UACGGAGGUGGCAAGCGUUGCUCGGAAUCACUGGGCGUAAAGGGCGCGUAGGCGGGGAGGUAAGUCGGGUGUGAAAUCCCUCGGCCCAACCGAGGAACUGCGCCCGAGACUGCUUCUCUUGAGUCCCGGAGAGGAAGAUGGAAUUCCCGGUGUAGCGGUGAAAUGCGUAGAUAUCUGGAGGAACACCGAUGGCGAAGGCAGGUCUCUGGGCCAUAACUGACGCUGAGAAGCGAAAGCGUGGGGAGCAAACAGG
rnacentral:rRNA from 1 species